GACGAACGCUGGCGGCGUGCUUAACACAUGCAAGUCGAACGGAAAGGCCCUGCUUUUGUGGGGUGCUCGAGUGGCGAACGGGUGAGUAACACGUGAGUAACCUGCCCUUGACUUUGGGAUAACUUCAGGAAACUGGGGCUAAUACCGGAUAGGAGCUCCUGCUGCAUGGUGGGGGUUGGAAAGUUUCGGCGGUUGGGGAUGGACUCGAGGCUUAUCAGCUUGUUGGUGGGGUAGUGGCUUACCAAGGCUUUGACGGGUAGCCGGCCUGAGAGGGUGACCGGCCACAUUGGGACUGAGAUACGGCCCAGACUCCUACGGGAGGCAGCAGUGGGGAAUAUUGCACAAUGGGCGGAAGCCUGAUGCAGCAACGCCGCGUGCGGGAUGACGGCCUUCGGGUUGUAAACCGCUUUCGCCUGUGACGAAGCGUGAGUGACGGUAAUGAGUAAAGAAGCACCGGCUAACUACGUG
rnacentral:rRNA from 1 species